rnacentral:rRNA from 1 species
AUGGACCUUUUGAGAUCUUGGACACUAUUUGGACCUGCAGCUUACAAACUCCAUCUGCCUAUUGAAGCUCUCAUCCACCCAAUGUUCCAUAUGUCAUGGCUCAAACCUCAUAUACCUGAUCAUACUCCAGUUUUUUCUCAACUGCCAGCUCAUGUGGACCUCUCAUCCCUGAAUAUGUGCCCAAAGAAAAUCCUUGAUCGCAGGAUGGUCAAGAAAAGUAAUGGUGCGCAUAUUCAGGUACUGAUCAAGUGGUCGGGUGUGCCACCAAAAGCUACAACAUGGGAAGAUUAUGAAGUGUUACGACGCCGAUAUCCAACGGCACCAGCAUGGGGACAUGCUGGUUCUCAAAGGAGGGGCAUUGUCACCAGUACACCACUGACGACAAAAGCAAAGGAGAAGGAAGCGCGAAGAAACUGCUGA